rnacentral:tRNA from 1 species
GGGGGUGUAGCUCAGUGGUAGAGUGCUUGCCUGGCAUGCAUGAGGCUCUGGGUUCCAUCCCCAGCACCACAG